GGCCUGGUAGCUUAGCCCGGUAGAGCACUGCUCUUAUAAAGCAGGGGUCCCGAGUCCAAAUCUCGGCCAGGCCA
rnacentral:tRNA from 1 species